rnacentral:rRNA from 2 species
CGGGGGCGCUAUCGGAUUUAUUGGGCGUAAGCGAGCGCAGGCGGUUUUUUAAGUCUGAUGUGAAAGCCCUCGGCUUAACCGAGGAAGCGCAUCGGAAACUGGGAAACUUGAGUGCAGAAGAGGACAGUGGAACUCCAUGUGUAGCGGUGAAAUGCGUAGAUAUAUGGAAGAACACCAGUGGCGAAGGCGGCUGUCUGGUCUGUAACUGACGCUGAGGCUCGAAAGCAUGGGUAGCGAACAGGAUUAGAUACCCUGGUAGUCCAUGCCGUAAACGAUGAAUGCUAGGUGUUGGAGGGUUUCCGCCCUUCAGUGCCGCAGCUAACGCAUUAAGCAUUCCGCCUGGGGAGUACGACCGCAAGGUUGAAACUCAAAGGAAUUGACGGGGGCCCGCACAAGCGGUGGARCAUGUGGUUUAAUUCKAAGCAACGCGAARAACCUUACCAGGUCUUGACAUCUUUUGAUCACCUGAGAGAUCAGGUUUCCCCUUCGGGGGCAAAAUGACAGGUGGUGCAUGGUUGUCGUCAGCUCGUGUCGUGAGAUGUUGGGUUAAGUCCCGCAACGAGCGCAACCCUUAUGACUAGUUGCCAGCAUUUAGUUGGGCACUCUAGUAAGACUGCCGGUGACAAACCGGAGGAAGGUGGGGAUGACGUCAAAUCAUCAUGCCCCUUAUGACCUGGGCUACACACGUGCUACAAUGGAUGGUACAACGAGUUGCGAGACCGCGAGGUCAAGCUAAUCUCUUAAAGCCAUUCUCAGUUCGGACUGUAGGCUGCAACUCGCCUACACGAARUCGGAAUCGCUAGUAAUCGCGGAUCAGCACGCCGCGGUGAAUACGUUCCCGGGCCUUGUACMCCCCSSCMC